GUCGCCCCGUGUAACCAACGUCGCCUCUCGUUAACCUAGCCGUUGGUGGUCCACUGCAGCGCUGGAGUGGGGCGGACAGGGACGUUCAUCGCUCUGGACUAUCUGAUGGACCAGGCUGAGGCAGAGCACAGGGUCAACGUGUUCCAGUGUGUGUCUAGGAUGAGGCAGGCCAGGAUGAACAUGGUCCAGACAGUGCAUCAGUUCGAGUUCGUUCAUAUCGUGGUCCUUGAGGCCCUGGAGAGUAGAGGCACAUUCUACACAAUGACUGAAUUCAACCGCAUUUUCGGACGGGAGAGAAACUACAGCAAACAAGACACUACCUUGAAGAAGGAAUUUAAAGUAACGCUAAACAUUACGAUAGUCUUAUAAAACCA